ACCCACUCCUCUCUAUCAGACUCCACUCUCAAUACAAUUAGGGCAACACGCCCACUUUCUCUGAUAGACUCCCACUCUCAAUGCUCUUUAACAAUGUGAGUUUUUUUACUUCAAUACAAAAAAUUGGGCGUGAAUCUAGGGUUAAUGUCUGAAAAAUAGAAGAAAACUUUCGAAAUUGCAAGAUUUUUGCUGCAGAACUCUGAAAUUCGAAGUCGUGUGUUGCUGCUCUGCAAGAUUCUCAGGCGAAAGGAUCAGUUUGACCUUGAACAUAUCAGCAGAUUUACAAUCAUUGUUCACGUGGAAUACUAAUGUGUGCAGAUCCCGGAUGCCGAUGUUGCUACGUUCGAUAGUUGCUGGAUUUGAAGGCGUACCCGCGUUCCUGCUAUAGCUGCCUCUUGUUCACAUAAAAUUCUAUUUAUGUGCUUUUCAAACAGAAGAUGUGUUUUCUUCAUAUCAGCUUUGUAAACUCUAAUUUUAGAAGCUCAUGAUUUGUACUACCAGUCCUUGGGAAAUGUAUAAAAUUUAGUUAACUUCUCUAUUUAAUUGUUUGGUUGACUUUAAUGGAAUUGGUUAGUUAUUA